rnacentral:misc_RNA from 1 species
UCACCGUUUACACGGGCAGUUUCUCUAGAGUCCCCGGCAUUACCCGCUGGCAACUAGAGAAACUGCCCGUGUAAACGGUCAGUGACCUAGCGAAAGCGUUAAGUGAUCCACCUGGGGAGUACGAUCGCAGGAUUGAAACUCAAAGGAAUUGACGGGGGCCCGCACAAGCGGUGGAGCAUGUGGUUUAAUUCGAUGAUACGCGAGGAACCUUACCAGGGCUCGAACGCACGUAGACAGUCGCGGAAACGUGAUCUUCUUCGGACUGCGUGCGAGGUGCUGCAUGGCUGUCGUCAGCUCGUG